GACGAACGCUGGCGGCGUGCUUAACACAUGCAAGUCGAACGGAAAGGCCCUGCUUUUGUGGGGUGCUCGAGUGGCGAACGGGUGAGUAACACGUGAGUAACCUGCCCUUGACUUUGGGAUAACUUCAGGAAACUGGGGCUAAUACCGGAUAGGAGCUCCUGCUGCAUGGUGGGGGUUGGAAAGUUUCGGCGGUUGGGGAUGGACUCGCGGCUUAUCAGCUUGUUGGUGGGGUAGUGGCUUACCAAGGCUUUGACGGGUAGCCGGCCUGAGAGGGUGACCGGCCAGAUGGGGAGGGAGAUGCGGCCGAGGCGCCUGGGGGGGGAAGCAGUGGGGAUUUGGGCAAAAUGGGCGGAGGCUUGAGGCAGCCACGCGGCGGGGGGGAGGAGGGCGUUGGGGUUGUAAACCGCUUUCGCCGGGGAAGAGGGGUGAGGGAAGGGAAUGGAAAAAGAAGAACGGGAUACAUAUGGG
rnacentral:rRNA from 1 species